UAUUUUUGUGUUACACAGUUGGUCUCAUAAAUAGUUGGUAAACCAAUUACUAAAUUACAAGUAUCAUCGAAGUCAAUAAUAAAUAAAUAUAAUAUUGGAGCAGUUUUGAAAACAAUAUUUUUAUACCACUUAUCAAAAUGGAGCUCAACUCUAUAAUGUUUCACCAAUCGGAUGUGAUUCUUUCAUCUAAUCUCCAACAUUAUUUGUCCUUCAUUUAUAUAGUUGACUAGAGAGGCUAUGCAAACUGGAAUCCGGGAUGUAGACUCACUGAGUCACUGGUGAUAAUUGGUACAGUAGAUAAUAUAAGUUGAUCGUUGAUGAUGGACCGAUCGGAAAGAGUUUUUUGGCUAUUGAGACUAUUAUUAAUUAAGAGCGUUUCGAUUAUGCUGGUGCGGAGAAGAAAAAGUUCUGUAUCUACAUUGCUAUCGGUCAAAUGAGAUCUACAGUAACUUGGAUCGUGAAAAUAGUGACGGCACUGCUAUUAACUAUUCUAUCAUCGUAUUCGAUACCGUGUCUGAUGCUGCUCUUUUCUUACACUUUUUUGCCAUGUGCCAUGGCAGAACUUUUUUUUUGUGACAACGGCAAACAUGUCUUCAUUAUUUAUGAUGAUUUGUCAAAAUCGGUAAUUGCUUACCAUUAAAUACUUUUAUUUUUGAGACGACCUUUAGGAAAUGAUGCUUAGCCUCGUCAUGUAUUCUAUAUUCAUUCUCGUUUUCUUGAAAGAGCAGUAAAAUCCAUUAAAUGUACAUAAAUAAUUGAGUUCGGACCGUCAAUAAUUUCCAGAUGUUUCAUCAAAAAAAUAAUAGUUAAAAAAAAAUGCCUUUAGUUUUCCAAAUUUUCAGUUAAGUAUUUAUAAUUUUUUUCAUAAAUAAUUCGUAAAAACAGAUCAAAAAUCAUUAUAUAACUGUCAGUUUUUAUUACUGAGUAGUAUGACAUUGAAAUUCAUAGGCCUCGACCAUUUUUGGAUAUUUUGGAAAAUGAAUUAUUUAAAGAAAAAGUUGUUUUUUGGAAUAUCUAGAUGUAUACGUUUUUAUUAAAAGUUUUUUAUAAAUUUUUUCUGAAAAAACAACAAAAUUAUUAUGUUUAUUUGUUUCUAUUGCUGAGUAGUAAAUACGAAUCAUAUUUUUUGUUAAUAAAAGAAUUUUGUUUUAAGUUUGAUUCAGAAUUACAAUAACCAAGUUAGUUUUUCCAUCCAUCAUGGCAAAAUACGAGGACUCGUCAAAUUACUUUAAUCAUCCAUGGGAUCCAAUGACUUUGAGGCAUACGUAAACAUAGUUGCAUUUCAACAAGGUAAAUUUUAAAUUGUUUAUGAACCUGACAUUUACAAUCUAAUGAUAAUCAUAUUUGUUUUAGCAAGUAAAUUAUAUCAAGAAAAAAUUUAUUUUUUAAUUCAACUUAUAAAUAUUCAAUUUUGACAUGUAUCCAUUUCAUAAAUUUUUUUCUUUAUUAUAAUUUAUUUAUUCAAAAAGAAAAAAAAUUGUUUAUUACAUGUCUAUACCAGUAAGAUAAAAAAAGUCUCAGAUCAUUGUAAUUGUUGGCUGAGGCGAAGCUGAGGCUGACAAACUUGUGAUCUGAGACUUUUUGUAUUUUACUGGCCUAGGUAUCAUAGUUUUAAACAUUUUUCUUCGCUCGGCUUGCAGUGGCCUUGUAACUUCAUCAUGAACUUCAAAACGAGUAUCCCGGCAUCGAAAAUUAAUAAAAACAGAACCUUUGUCCCCAGGAUUGUUUUCGAUGUAACCAAAAAUAGGAUUAUUGCACACUUUACUUUUGCACUUGCCAAUAAAUGUCGCAUAAUAAUUUCCAUUUUCAUGAAUUGUGCCUUUUUUAAAUACAAAGGCACACGGUAGUUCAAACUGAUGCCAUAAUUCAAAGGCAAUAGUGUCAGUCCACACUUUCGGCUGUAACCUAGGAUUUUUACAACUAUUGUCUUUUUUAUACAUACAUUCCCAAACACCUCUAGCAAUUUCAACAUGAAAACAUGGAACAUCAUCCCGCUCUUUAGCAUAUAGUUUAUUAAAAUAAUCCUUAUCGCUAUUAUCAUCACUGUCAUCAUUAUCAUUAUUAUCAUUGCUGUCAUUGUCAUCAUCAUCAUUAUUACUAUAAGUGAAUUUUUUCUUAAUUAUUUGGGAAAAAUAUCCACAUUCUUUUCUUGCUCUAGUCAAAAUCCCCCUACGAUUGUCUUUUAUGUUGGUCCUAACUGCUGCAGUAUUCCAUUUACCCACAAAUUCUGGUUCCUUGGACAUUUUCGACCAUACCUCAGCAGAGUAUGCUGGCAAGGUAUCUGAACAGAAGUAGCUCAUAUAUCUUUUUAUAACAGCUAUUGAGUCCUCAUCUGAUACAAGCAGUGGUCUCGGCAUUAUUGAGUUAAUGAUUGAUAAAACC